rfam:Cavia porcellus supercont2_12 genomic scaffold, whole genome shotgun sequence.
GGGGGUUUAGCUCAGUGGCAUAAGCGCCUGCCUUGUAAGCAGGUACUUGUGAGUUCGAUCCCCA